rnacentral:rRNA from 1 species
UACGGAGGAUCCAAGCGUUAUCCGGAUUUAUUGGGUUUAAAGGGUGCGUAGGUGGCCUAUUAAGUCAGGGGUGAAAGCCCAGAGCUCAACUCUGGAACUGCCUUUGAGACUGAAGAGCUUGAGUACGGGAGAGGUGAGUGGAAUUCCCAGUGUAGAGGUGAAAUUCGUAGAUAUUGGGAAGAACACCGGUGGCGAAGGCGGCUCACUGGCCCGUUACUGACGCUCAGGCGCGACAGCGUGGGGAUCAAACAGG